UUUUGCUGUAAUCAUUUAGUUGCCCCUGUGGUGGAAGUUCCUAAUCCUCAACAACAAGGUCAGGUACUCAGACAACAUGACCCUCUCCAUUUCAAAGAUCUCAAAGCCUUAAAGGAGGUUGUCUCCACUUAUGGGGUACAAGCAGCUUUCACAAUGACCGUGGUAGAGUCCUACCAGACACAAUACUUAACACCCAGUGAUUGGCAACAGCUGUGUAGAGCAGUAUUGUCAGGAGGUGAUUAUCUUUUAUGGAGAGGAGAGUUCCAAGAGCAGGCUCUCCAGGUGGCCCGCCUUAAUGCUCAGGUCGGAUUGGCUCAUAGACAUGCUAACGGGAGCAGGAGCCUAUGGAGGGGUGGGGGCUCAGAUAUUAUACGAUCCAGCUGUAUACGCUCAAGUGGCAGCUUGUGCUGUAAAGGCCUGGAAGAGCCUGCCUAAUAAAGCAGCUGGGGAUCACCUUUCUAAAAUGAUACAAGGACCCUCUGAACCAUUUCAAGAUUUUGUUGACAGACUAUUACAGCUGGCCGGAUGCAUCUUUGGAGAGGUCACACAAGCUAUGCCUAUUAUUAAGCAAUUGGCUUAUGAAAAUGCAAACCGGUAUUGCAAAGAAGUACUUAGAACCCAGAGGCACAAAAGCCUAAAUGAUUACAUCAGACUGUGUAAAGAUGUGGAUGUGCAUUAUAUACAGGGGCAAGUGAUUGCAGCUGCAUUGCGCCCAUCAAAAGGUAGACUGCCAACAGGCAGCAGAGGGGAUUGCAAUUGCUUAAACCUGCUACACCACUGUUAGCGUGGGUGAGGGGAGCUGUUUGUGUUUUUCCCCCAGGUGCUGAUAAACCUAUCUGGAUUCCUGAAAGAUAUUGUCGAACGAUCAACUCCCUGGAAGACCAUGGAACAUCUCAACAAAAUAACAAAGGUGAUAAUCCUCAUCCUUCUGACACAGACAUGGAGCAUACAGGUAAUUGUGUCCUGAGCAACUGCUGGAAUUCCUCCUUCACUUCUGCACUGGUUGUGAGGAUCUCUACACUUCUUCAUAUGUCUGUGAAUGUAUCAGAAGAUCGAGUGGAACUGACAUUGCAUAGAAGCAAGAGAGAUUUUGGAAUAACAGCAGCUAUCAUCUUUAGCAUAGCCAUCGCUUCUACUGCUAUCGUCGCUGCUGGCAUCGCCUGUCUCAGACUGCGGUUACAGCUUCCAUGGUUGAUACCUUGUCAGGAAAAGUUAGUGAAGCCCUGCAAACUCAGAACUCAAUCAAUGCACACAUACAAUUUGGGCUAAUGAACUUAAAUCAACAAACUGCCUUGUUACAAGAACAAGUUGAUGCCCUUUGGGCUAUGUAACAGCUAACAUGCUCUCAUUUCUUCCAUCAUAUUUAUGUUACUCAUUACCAUGUGCAAAAUGCCUCCAAUACUGUAAAACAAUUGAAUGCCUUUCUUAAGGGACCAUGGAAUGUGACCUUUGCAAAUUUUACUAAGGUUCUUACUUAGCAAUUUGUAUCCGUUAAUGAAACCAGGGUCCCUGCCACAUCAGCAGAAGGAUGAUGGAAUACCAUGGUAGGAAUUGGAGGAUGGAUACAGAGGUGGGCAGGCUCCUUAUCACUGACUGUCAAUUUCAUACUCAUUAUGACCUUUGUGUUUUGGGGUCUUGUGUAGAAAGCUCAGAAGAAUUCGGUCCCGACAAACUGUUACCCAACAAGUCCUUUUAAGUUUUCACACAACCAUACAGAUGUCCCACAAGUGUGGCUUCAGAUGCUACACAAAAGAUGAAGGUAUUCUCAGUGACGGGCAACUUUCUGUGAGAGGGCUCUGGCCUAAGACAGGGAAGAGGUCUCCCAGUGAUGGGUAAGGGUGACCCCUCCAGAACGACCUAAGACAGAGUUACCUUCCUU